UUGACCUCGGAUCAGGUAGGGAUACCCGCUGAACUUAAGCAUAUCAAUAAGCGGAGGAAAAGAAACCAACCGGGAUUGCCUCAGUAACGGCGAGUGAAGCGGCAAGAGCUCAAAUUUGAAAGCUGGCUCCUUCGGAGUCCGCAUUGUAAUUUGCAGAGGAUGCUUUGGGUGCGGCCCCCGUCUAAGUGCCCUGGAACGGGCCGUCAGAGAGGGUGAGAAUCCCGUCUUGGGCGGGGUGUCCGUGCCCGUGUAAAGCUCCUUCGACGAGUCGAGUUGUUUGGGAAUGCAGCUCUAAAUGGGUGGUAAAUUUCAUCUAAAGCUAAAUACUGGCCGGAGACCGAUAGCGCACAAGUAGAGUGAUCGAAAGAUGAAAAGCACUUUGAAAAGAGAGUUAAACAGCACGUGAAAUUGUUGAAAGGGAAGCGCUUGCGACCAGACUCGCCCGCGGGGUUCAGCCGGCAUUCGUGCCGGUGUACUUCCCCGUGGGCGGGCCAGCGUCGGUUUGGGCGGCCGGUCAAAGGCCCCUGGAAUGUAGUACCCUCCGGGGUACCUUAUAGCCAGGGGUGCAAUGCGGCCAGCCUGGACCGAGGAACGCGCUUCGGCACGGACGC
rnacentral:rRNA from 2 species